UACAGAGGUCUCAAGCGUUGUUCGGAUUCCUUGGGCGUAAAGGGUGCGUAGGUGGCGCCGUAAGUCAGGUGUGAAAUUUCGGAGCUUAACUUCGAAACUGCAUUUGAUACUGCGGUGCUUGAGGACUGGAGAGGAGACUGGAAUUUACGGUGUAGCAGUGAAAUGCGUAGAUAUCGUAAGGAAGACCAGUGGCGAAGGCGGGUCUCUGGACAGUUCCUGACACUGAGGCACGAAGGCCAGGGGAGCAAACGGG
rnacentral:rRNA from 1 species